GAGUUUGAUCAUGGCUCAGAUUGAACGCUGGCGGCAUGCCUUACACAUGCAAGUCGAACGGCAGCACGGGUGCUUGCACCUGGUGGCGAGUGGCGAACGGGUGAGUAAUACAUCGGAACAUGUCCUGUAGUGGGGGAUAGCCCGGCGAAAGCCGGAUUAAUACCGCAUACGAUCUACGGAUGAAAGCGGGGGACCUUCGGGCCUCGCGCUAUAGGGUUGGCCGAUGGCUGAUUAGCUAGUUGGUGGGGUAAAGGCCUACCAAGGCGACGAUCAGUAGCCGGUCUGAGAGGACGACCAGCCACACUGGGACUGAGACACGGCCCAGACUCCUACGGGAGGCAGCAGUGGGGAAUUUUGGACAAUGGGCGAAAGCCUGAUCCAGCAAUGCCGCGUGUGUGAAGAAGGCCUUCGGGUUGUAAAGCACUUUUGUCCGGAAAGAAAUCCUUGGCUCUAAUACAGUCGGGGGAUGACGGUACCGGAAGAAUAAGCACCGGCUAACUACGUGCCAGCAGCCGCGGUAAUACGUAGGGUGCGAGCGUUAAUCGGAAUUACUGGGCGUAAAGCGUGCGCAGGCGGUUUGCUAAGACCGAUGUGAAAUCCCCGGGCUCAACCUGGGAACUGCAUUGGUGACUGGCAGGCUAGAGUAUGGCAGAGGGGGGUAGAAUUCCACGUGUAGCAGUGAAAUGCGUAGAGAUGUGGAGGAAUACCGAUGGCGAAGGCAGCCCCCUGGGCCAAUACUGACGCUCAUGCACGAAAGCGUGGGGAGCAAACAGGAUUAGAUACCCUGGUAGUCCACGCCCUAAACGAUGUCAACUAGUUGUUGGGGAUUCAUUUCCUUAGUAACGUAGCUAACGCGUGAAGUUGACCGCCUGGGGAGUACGGUCGCAAGAUUAAAACUCAAAGGAAUUGACGGGGACCCGCACAAGCGGUGGAUGAUGUGGAUUAAUUCGAUGCAACGCGAAAAACCUUACCUACCCUUGACAUGGUCGGAAUCCCGCUGAGAGGUGGGAGUGCUCGAAAGAGAACCGGCGCACAGGUGCUGCAUGGCUGUCGUCAGCUCGUGUCGUGAGAUGUUGGGUUAAGUCCCGCAACGAGCGCAACCCUUGUCCUUAGUUGCUACGCAAGAGCACUCUAAGGAGACUGCCGGUGACAAACCGGAGGAAGGUGGGGAUGACGUCAAGUCCUCAUGGCCCUUAUGGGUAGGGCUUCACACGUCAUACAAUGGUCGGAACAGAGGGUUGCCAACCCGCGAGGGGGAGCUAAUCCCAGAAAACCGAUCGUAGUCCGGAUUGCACUCUGCAACUCGAGUGCAUGAAGCUGGAAUCGCUAGUAAUCGCGGAUCAGCAUGCCGCGGUGAAUACGU
rnacentral:rRNA from 1 species